GGGGCAUUAGUUCAAAAACGCAGUCUACAAAGAGAUAGGCUGCGCCGGUAGAUGGAGCUGCAUCCGAUGGCGGUUCGAGUCCGUCAUGCCCCG
rnacentral:tRNA from 1 species